GUUAUAUGGUCAAGUGAAGAAGCGCAUACGGUGGAUGCCUUGGCAGUCAGAGGCGAUGAAAGACGUGGUAGCCUGCGAAAAGCUUCGGGGAGUCGGCAAACAGACUGUGAUCCGAAGAUGUCUGAAUGGGGGAACCCAGCCAUCAUAAGAUGGUUAUCUUGUACUGAAUACAUAGGUGCAAGAGGCGAACCAGGGGAACUGAAACAUCUAAGUACCCUGAGGAAAAGAAAUCAACCGAGAUUCCCUUAGUAGUGGCGAGCGAACGGGGACCAGCCCUUAAGUUGUAUUGAGAUUAGCGGAACGUUCUGGAAAGGACGGCCAUAGUGGGUGAUAGCCCUGUACGCGAAAAUCCCUUUGCAAUGAAAUCGAGUAGGACGGGGCACGAGAAACCUUGUCUGAAUAUGGGGGGACCAUCCUCCAAGGCUAAAUACUACUGACUGACCGAUAGUGAACCAGUACCGUGAGGGAAAGGCGAAAAGAACCGCGGAGAGCGGAGUGAAAUAGAUCCUGAAACCGUAUGCGUACAAGCAGUGGGAGCCCACUUUGUUGGGUGACUGCGUACCUUUUGUAUAAUGGGUCAGCGACUUAUUUUCAGUGGCGAGCUUAACCGAAUAGGGGAGGCGUAGCGAAAGCGAGUCUUAAUAGGGCGUCUAGUCGCUGGGAAUAGACCCGAAACCGGGCGAUCUAUCCAUGGGCAGGUUGAAGGUUGGGUAACACUAACUGGAGGACCGAACCGACUACCGUUGAAAAGUUAGCGGAUGACCUGUGGAUCGGAGUGAAAGGCUAAUCAAGCUCGGAGAUAGCUGGUUCUCCUCGAAAGCUAUUUAGGUAGCGCCUCAUGUAUCACUGUAGGGGGUAGAGCACUGUUUCGGCUAGGGGGUCAUCCCGACUUACCAAACCGAUGCAAACUCCGAAUACCUACAAGUGCCGAGCAUGGGAGACACACGGCGGGUGCUAACGUCCGUCGUGAAAAGGGAAACAACCCAGACCGUCAGCUAAGGUCCCAAAGUCAUGGUUAAGUGGGAAACGAUGUGGGAAGGCUUAGACAGCUAGGAGGUUGGCUUAGAAGCAGCCACCCUUUAAAGAAAGCGUAAUAGCUCACUAGUCGAGUCGGCCUGCGCGGAAGAUGUAACGGGGCUCAAACCAUGCACCGAAGCUACGGGUAUCAUCUUUUGAUGAUGCGGUAGAGGAGCGUUCUGUAAGCCUGUGAAGGUGAGUUGAGAAGCUUGCUGGAGGUAUCAGAAGUGCGAAUGCUGACAUGAGUAACGACAAUGGGUGUGAAAAACACCCACGCCGAAAGACCAAGGUUUCCUGCGCAACGUUAAUCGACGCAGGGUUAGUCGGUCCCUAAGGCGAGGCUGAAAAGCGUAGUCGAUGGAAAACAGGUUAAUAUUCCUGUACUUCUGGUUAUUGCGAUGGAGGGACGGAGAAGGCUAGGCCAGCCUGGCGUUGGUAGUCCAGGUUUAAGGUGGUAGGCUGAGAUCUUAGGUAAAUCCGGGAUCUUAAGGCCGAGAGCUGAUGACGAGUGUUCUUUUAGAACACGAAGUGGUUGAUGCCAUGCUUCCAAGAAAAGCUUCUAAGCUUCAGGUAACCAGGAACCGUACCCCAAACCGACACAGGUGGUUGGGUAGAGAAUACCAAGGCGCUUGAGAGAACUCGGGUGAAGGAACUAGGCAAAAUGGCACCGUAACUUCGGGAGAAGGUGCGCCGGUGGAGGUGAAGCAUUUACUGCGUAAGCCCCUGCCGGUCGAAGAUACCAGGCCGCUGCGACUGUUUAUUAAAAACACAGCACUCUGCAAACACGAAAGUGGACGUAUAGGGUGUGACGCCUGCCCGGUGCCGGAAGGUUAAUUGAUGGGGUUAGCGCAAGCGAAGCUCUUGAUCGAAGCCCCGGUAAACGGCGGCCGUAACUAUAACGGUCCUAAGGUAGCGAAAUUCCUUGUCGGGUAAGUUCCGACCUGCACGAAUGGCGUAACGAUGGCGGCGCUGUCUCCACCCGAGACUCAGUGAAAUUGAAAUCGCUGUGAAGAUGCAGUGUAUCCGCGGCUAGACGGAAAGACCCCGUGAACCUUUACUAUAGCUUUGCACUGGACUUUGAAUUUGCUUGUGUAGGAUAGGUGGGAGGCUUUGAAGCGUGGACGCCAGUCUGCGUGGAGCCAACCUUGAAAUACCACCCUGGCAACUUUGAGGUUCUAACUCAGGUCCGUUAUCCGGAUCGAGGACAGUGUAUGGUGGGUAGUUUGACUGGGGCGGUCUCCUCCUAAAGAGUAACGGAGGAGUACGAAGGUGCGCUCAGACCGGUCGGAAAUCGGUCGUAGAGUAUAAAGGCAAAAGCGCGCUUGACUGCGAGACAGACACGUCGAGCAGGUACGAAAGUAGGUCUUAGUGAUCCGGUGGUUCUGUAUGGAAGGGCCAUCGCUCAACGGAUAAAAGGUACUCCGGGGAUAACAGGCUGAUACCGCCCAAGAGUUCAUAUCGACGGCGGUGUUUGGCACCUCGAUGUCGGCUCAUCACAUCCUGGGGCUGAAGCCGGUCCCAAGGGUAUGGCUGUUCGCCAUUUAAAGUGGUACGCGAGCUGGGUUUAGAACGUCGUGAGACAGUUCGGUCCCUAUCUGCCGUGGACGUUUGAGAUUUGAGAGGGGCUGCUCCUAGUACGAGAGGACCGGAGUGGACGAACCUCUGGUGUUCCGGUUGUCACGCCAGUGGCAUUGCCGGGUAGCUAUGUUCGGAAAAGAUAACCGCUGAAAGCAUCUAAGCGGGAAACUUGCCUCAAGAUGAGAUCUCACUGGAACCUUGAGUUCCCUAAAGGGCCGUCGAAGACUACGACGUUGAUAGGUUGGGUGUGUAAGCGCUGUGAGGCGUUGAGCUAACCAAUACUAAUUGCCCGUGAGGCUUGACCAUAUAACACCCAAGCAAUU
rnacentral:rRNA from 1 species